AACGAACGCUGGCGGCAGGCUUAACACAUGCAAGUCGAACGCAUCCUUCGGGGUGAGUGGCAGACGGGUGAGUAACGCGUGGGAACGUGCCCUUCAGUUCGGGAUAACCCAGGGAAACUUGGGCUAAUACCGGAUACGUGCGAGAGCAGAAAGAUUUAUCGCUGAAGGAUCGGCCCGCGUCUGAUUAGCUAGUUGGUGGGGUAAUGGCCCACCAAGGCGACGAUCAGUAGCUGGUCUGAGAGGAUGAUCAGCCACAUUGGGACUGAGACACGGCCCAGACUCCUACGGGAGGCAGCAGUGGGGAAUAUUGGACAAUGGGCGAAAGCCUGAUCCAGCCAUGCCGCGUGAGUGAUGAAGGCCUUAGGGUUGUAAAGCUCUUUCGCCAGGGAAGAUAAUGACGGUACCUGGAAAAGAAGCCUCGGCUAACUCCGUGCCAGCCGCCGCCGUAA
rnacentral:rRNA from 1 species